UACAGAGGUCUCAAGCGUUUGUUCGGAUUCAUUGGGCGUAAAGGGUGCGUAGGCGGCGCGGUAAGUCGGAUGUGAAAUCUCGGAGCUUAACUUCGAAACUGCAUUCGAUACUGGCGUGCUUGAGGACUGGAGAGGAGACUGGAAUUCAUGGUGUAGCAGUGAAAUGCGUAGAGAUCAUGAGGAAGACCAGUGGCGAAGGCGGGUCUCUGGACAGUUCCUGACACUGAGACACGAAGGCCAGGGGAGCAAACGGG
rnacentral:rRNA from 1 species